AUGCGAAGGCGGCGCUUCCGGCGGCGGCGCUCGGCGGCGGCCUCCUCGGGGGUGGCGAAGGAGAGGAAGCGGAGGCGGAAGGGGGCGGCGGCAGGGAAGGGAUGCAGGUAGGGUUUCAGGGAUUUGAGGUGGGAGAAAAGGGGCUUGGAGAGGGCCAUUUUCUUGGGGUUUUGCGUUGGCGACCGCCGCCUAGCGAGAGGAGAGGAGAGGAUAUUGUGAUUUGAGGGGUUCGGGGUAAGGAGAGGGUAUUUUGGUAGUUUGAUUGCAACAUGGAAGGCAAAGAUAGAUGGUGGCAUACCCGGUGAUGCAUUGCCCAA
rnacentral:lncRNA from 1 species